UUCAUGGUCGAGUGGUAAAGACACUUCCCUCUCGCCAUGGAGUCCUGGGUUCGAUCCCUGGUCGAGAAU
rnacentral:tRNA from 1 species